rnacentral:rRNA from 1 species
CAGCAGCCACGGUAAUACGUAGGUGGCAAGCGUUGUCCGGAAUUAUUGGGCGUAAAGGGCUCGCAGGCGGUCUCUUAAGUCUGAUGUGAAAGCCCCCGGCUCAACCGGGGAGGGUCAUUGGAAACUGGGAAACUUGAGUGCAGAAGAGGAGAGUGGAAUUCCACGUGUAGCGGUGAAAUGCGUAGAGAUGUGGAGGAACACCAGUGGCGAAGGCGACUCUCUGGUCUGUAACUGACGCUGAGGAGCGAAAGCGUGGGGAGCGAACAGGAUUAGAUACCCGCGUAGUCCCUGUCUCUUAUAC